AUUGAACGCUGGCGGCAUGCCUUACACAUGCAAGUCGAACGGUAACAGGUUAAGCUGACGAGUGGCGAACGGGUGAGUAAUGUAUCGGAACGUGCCCAGUCGUGUGGGAUAACUACUCGAAAGAGUGGCUAAUACCGCAUGAGAUCUACGGAUGAAAGCAGGGGAUCGCAAGACCUUGUGCUACUAGAGCGGCCGAUGGCAGAUUAGGUAGUUGGUGGGAUAAAAGCUUACCAAGCCGACGAUCUGUAGCUGGUCUGAGAGGACGAUCAGCCACACUGGGACUGAGACACGGCCCAGACUCCUACGGGAGGCAGCAGUGGGGAAUUUUGGACAAUGGGCGCAAGCCUGAUCCAGCAAUGCCGCGUGCAGGAUGAAGGCCUUCGGGUUGUAAACUGCUUUUGUACGGAACGAAAAGCCCUGGGUUAAUACCCUGGGGUCAUGACGGUACCGUAAGAAUAAGCACCGGCUAACUACGUGCCAGCAGCCGCCGCGGUAA
rnacentral:rRNA from 1 species